UCAAAAACAAAGAAUGACCCACUUUUAGUAUUUGAUGCACAAGGAUUUUCACGGUCCCAUAAAAAGGUCAAUGGGGUGGCAAACAGUGACAAACACCUACAAAACUCUACUCAACCGGUUGGCUUUCUCUCUCUCUCUCUCUCGCCUUAUAUCCUUCCCUUUCUAAAAGGUUCCAAAACAAAUACCAUUGUCCUUUCCUUCGUCUCUCUUGCUCAGAUUGGAAUGGAGUCCCAAACUCCCAAGCGUGGUGGAGGCAUGAGUUGGAAAUUUG
rnacentral:misc_RNA from 1 species